rnacentral:rRNA from 1 species
AAGUCGUAACAAGGUUUCGUAGGAUGAUCCUUCCCCCGUGAAGCUUUGAACACGCACGACUAUAAACAAUGCCACCACCGUCCCUGAUCCAAUCAAGGGCGACGUCACAUAAAUGCCGGGAUCCUUGUAACCAAGUGUACCAGCAGCCAAAUCAACCUUUGGUUCACAGAUUAGAUGGUGACGGUCAAGCAACGCGGACAUGUUGGUGCCGAGAUCCAACCGAGCGCAGAGGUGCCCUCUACCGGCUUGCCUCUACACCGGCCCCGCCGUUUGUUUGAUGAAGAGAUAAUCGGUCUGCUGUCUCCAACAGCCAGAUACACGUUCCGUAGGUGAACCUGCGGAAGGAUCAUUAUCGAGUUAGGGUCCUCUGGGCCCCAUCUCCGACCCCUGUCUACCACGUCGUCGCGGCCCUGCCGCCGCGAUGGCUUAAAAUUUCUUUUUAAACUCUGUAACCAUGUCGUCCUGCAGGAGAAUCUUAAAUUUAAGCAAAACUUUCAACAACGGAUCUCUUGGNUCUGGCAUCGAUGAAGAACGCAGCGAAAUGCGAUAAGUAAUGCGAAUUGCAGAAUUCCGUGAGUCAUCGAAUCUUUGAACGCACAUUGCGCCCUUUGGCAUUCCAAAGGGCAUGCCUGUUCGAGCGUCAUUAUCAACCCUCAAGCCUGGCUUGCUGUUGGGUCCCACCGUCGGCGACGGCGGUGGACCCGAAAGAUAAUGGCAGAGUCGGCGAGACCCUGGAUGCAGCGAGCUUCUUCAGCACGCAUCCUCACGGCCUCGUCCCUCCGUCCUCACCCACCACUUCUUCUGGUUGACCUCGGAUCAGGUAGGGAUACCCGCUGAACUUAAGCAUAUCAAUAAGCGGAGGAAAAGAAACCAACAGGGAUUGCCUCAGUAACGGCGAGUGAAGCGGCAACAGCUCAAAUUUGAAAUCUGGCCCCUCUGGGGUCCGAGUUGUAAUUUGUAGAGGAUGCUUCGGGCAAGGCCGCGGUCUAAUUUGCUUGGAACAGCGAGUCACAGAGGGUGAGAGUCCCGUCUAGGACCGCGUGCCGCGUCCGGGUGAAGCUCCUUCGACGAGUCGAGUUGUUUGGGAAUGCAGCUCUAAAUGGGUGGUAAAUUUCAUCUAAAGCUAAAUAUUGGCCAGAGACCGAUAGCGCACAAGUAGAGUGAUCGAAAGAUGAAAAGCACUUUGAAAAGAGAGUUAAACAGUAUGUGAAAUUGUUGAAAGGGAAGCGCUUGCAACCAGACUUGCGGAUGACGGUUCCCCCCACCUUCUGGUAAGGCUACUCCGUCAUCUCCAGGCCAGCAUCGGUUCGGGUGGUCGGUUAAAGACCCCGGGAAUGUAUCUACCUCCGGGUCGACUUAUAGCCCGGGGUGCAAUGCGGCCCACCCGGACCGAGGAACGCGCUUCGGCCCGGAUGCUGGCGUAAUGGUUGUAAGCGGCC